rnacentral:rRNA from 1 species
ACUCAAAGGAAUUGACGGGGGCCCGCACAAGCGGUGGAGCAUGUGGUUUAAUUCGACGCAACGCGAAGAACCUUACCUGGGCUUGAACUGCAGUGGACCGGUAUAGAGAUAUGCCUUUUCGCAAGAACUGCUGCAGAGGUGCUGCAUGGCUGUCGUCAGCUCGUGUCGUGAGAUGUUGGGUUAAGUCCCGCAACGAGCGCAACCCUUACCCGUAGUUGCCAGCGGUUCGGCCGGGAACUCUACGGGGACUGCCCGGGUUAACCGGGAGGAAGGUGGGGAUGAUGUCAAGUCCUCAUGGCCCUUAUGUCCAGGGCUACACACGUGCUACAAUGGGCGGUACAAACCGUUGCAAAGCCGCGAGGUGGAGCUAAUCGGAGAAAGCCGUCCUCAGUUCGGAUUGCAGUCUGCAACUCGACUGCAUGAAGUUGGAAUCGCUAGUAAUCGUGUAUCAGAAUGAUACGGUGAAUACGUUCCCGGGCCUUGUACACACCGCCCGU